GACGAACGCUGGCGGCGUGCUUAACACAUGCAAGUCGAACGGGAAGGCCCUGCUUUUGUGGGGUGCUCGAGUGGCGAAAGGGUGAGUAACACGUGAGUAACCUGCCCUUGACUUUGGGAUAACUUCAGGAAACUGGGGCUAAUACCGGAUAGGAGCUCCUGCUGCAUGGUGGGGGUUGGAAAGUUUCGGCGGUUGGGGAUGGACUCGCGGCUUAUCAGCUUGUUGGUGGGGUAGUGGCUUACCAAGGCUUUGACGGGUAGCCGGCCUGAGAGGGUGACCGGCCACAGUGGGACUGAGAUACGGCCCAGAGUCCUACGGGAGGCAGCAGUGGGGAAUAUUGCACAAUGGGCGGAAGCCUGAUGCAGCAACGCCGCGUGCGGGAUGACGGCCUUCGGGUUGUAAACCGCUUUCGCCGGUGACGAAGCGUGAGUGACGGUAAUGGGUAAAGAAGCACCGGCUAACUACGUG
rnacentral:rRNA from 1 species